GCGGCGGUCGUCUAGCCUGGACUAGGACGCCGGCCUGCCAUACGGGUUCGUAUAACCGUGUAGAACGCCGGAGAUCCCGGGUUCAAAUCCCGGCCGCCGCA
rnacentral:tRNA from 1 species